rnacentral:lncRNA from 1 species
AAUGAUCCAUUGAUCAUUCAUUGAUAGAUUUGAAACAUAUAAGGUUUAAUAAACCCUAAUAAAUCCAUAAUCAUGACUAAAUAGACCUUAUUAGCCAUCAAUGUUCAAGGCAUUGAAAGUUAAUCAAGAAUUGCUCAAAUGAAAUGAAAUAAAGUGUUAAAAAAUAAAAUAGGGAAAAAUAAAAAGAGUUUGCGUUGGAAAAAAUUUAAUCAGAAUUAAAAUAAGUGAGGAAAAAAUAAAAA